CACCUAAUUUGCAUAAUUGGUCAUGUGAACGUAAUUGUGAUGGACGCUGUAGGAGAGAUAAAUAAUGUCGUGGGAGAGGCAAAAAGUAUUUGUUCGUUAUGGCAUUAUAACUCAAAUGGGGAGGCCACAAUCAGCCUGGUACCAGCAACACAACCAGAGCAGGAAGUCAAGCAGGACGUCAAUGAUGCUGUGCUUCAGGAGUGAGUUGCUGAGGUGCAGCAGUGGCCUGAAGCAGGGGAGGGAGAAGGCCGCCACCACCUCCCUCAGGAGCAGUCUGGUCUCCUGACGUUGACACUUGACCCCUCACCUCUGAACCCAUCCAGGGAAAUAUGAUUUGCCUGAUGACACUCCAGUGGAGAUUUCGGCGCAUUUGUUGCCAUGUUUCCUCACCUCCAUUUCUUACGGUCCUAGACUACGGCGACAUCAUCAUCAAUUCAGAAAUGUAUCUGAGGACCUCUUUACUGAGGAAUGUGGUUGUUCUACACAAUUGUUGUUUGUAUUUUCUAUGCUGCUGUGAUUUAUGUGUAAUUGUGGGUUGCAAAAGAGUCUUUUGUCUCAAUGGGACUGGUAAAAUAAAUUAAGUAAAGGUCUUAAUAAACAUUCAUUAAGCACUAA